GUACGGGGGGAGGCAAGCGUUGUUCGGAUUUACUGGGCGUAAAGGGCGCGUAGGCGGUCACUACAAGUCAGUUGUGAAAUCUCUGGGCUUACAUCAGAACGGUCAACUGAUACUGUUGGACUAGAGUGCAGAAGGGGCAACUGGAAUUCUCGGUGUAGCGGUGAAAUGCGUAGAUAUCGAGAGGAACACCUGCGGCGAAGGCGGGUUGCUGGGCUGACACUGACGCUGGAGGCGCGAAAGCUAGGGGAGCGAACGGG
rnacentral:rRNA from 1 species